rnacentral:rRNA from 1 species
UACGGGGGGAGCAAGCGUUGUUCGGAUUUACUGGGCGUAAAGGGUGCGUAGGCGGGUUAUUAAGUCAGAGGUGAAAUCCUGGAGCUCAACUCCAGAACUGCCUUUGAUACUGAUAGUCUUGAGUAUGGGAGAGGUGAGUGGAACUGCGAGUGUAGAGGUGAAAUUCGUAGAUAUUCGCAAGAACACCAGUGGCGAAGGCGGCUCACUGGCCCAUUACUGACGCUGAGGCACGAAAGCGUGGGGAGCAAACAGG